CAAUAGCGUAUAUUAAAGUUGUUGCGGUUAAAAAGACUCGUAGUUGGAUUUCUUGCCGGAGGACGACCGGUCCGCCCUCUGGGUGAGUAUCUGGCUUGGCCUGGGCAUCUUCUUGGAGAACGUAGCUGCACUUGACUGUGUAGGUGCGGUAUCCAGGACUUUUACUUUGAGGAAAUUAGAGUGUUUCAAGCAGGCAUGCGCCUUGAAUACAUUAGCAUGGAAUAAUAAGAUAGGACCUCGGUUCUAUUUUGUUGGUUUCUAGAGCUGAGGUAAUGAUUAAUAGGGAUAGUUGGGGGCAUUCGUAUUUAACUGUCAGAAGGUGAAAUUUCUUGGAUUUGUUAAAGACGGUACUACUGCGAAAGUCAUUUUGCCAAGGAUGUUUUCGAUUGAUC
rnacentral:rRNA from 1 species